rnacentral:misc_RNA from 1 species
UUUUUCCGACGUUGUAAAAMGACGUUAUGCAUGAAAGUAAUGSUCAUAACUUCCCUCUAGACCUAGCUGCUGUUGAAGCUCCAACAAAUGGCUAAGACUUGUUCUUAGUGUGUAGAAGUUUUUGAAAUAUAGAAAUAUAGAUAAAUAUAAGGAGCAAUAAACCCUCUUUUGAUAGAACAAGAAAGGGUCUAUUGCUCCUUUAUUUUCUUUUCAAUUAGGAGUCCUUUUYUAGUAAUAUUGAACUUACCUAGAUUUUUCUUUCCAUAAAAGAAAGAAGAUAAAAAAAUGAUUGAGAUUCCAUCUUUUGUUUUACAAUUUUGAAAAAAAAAAAUUCAAAUUGAAAAAGUGAAUUCGUAAAUAAAAAAGAAAUAUCAAUUUUUCUUUUUUAUAGUAAAGGGGCGGAUGUAGCCAAGUGGAUCAAGACAGUGGAUUGKGAAUCCMCCAKGCGCGCCGGUGUGAAAUUGUUAUCMGAAA